rnacentral:rRNA from 1 species
UGCAAGCGUUAUCCGGAAUGAUUGGGCGUAAAGCGUCCGCAGGUGGCAGUUCAAGUCUGCUGUCAAAGACCGGGGCUUAACUUCGGAAAGGCAGUGGAAACUGAACAGCUAGAGUAUGGUAGGGGCAGAGGGAAUUCCUGGUGUAGCGGUGAAAUGCGUAGAUAUCAGGAAGAACAUCGGUGGCGAAGGCGCUCUGCUGGACCAUAACUGACACUCAGGGACGAAAGCUAGGGGAGCGAAUGGG